rnacentral:rRNA from 1 species
CCACCGGAGCUUGCUCCACCGGAAAAAGAGGAGUGGCGAACGGGUGAGUAACACGUGGGUAACCUGCCCAUCAGAAGGGGAUAACACUUGGAAACAGGUGCUAAUACCGUAUAACAAUCGAAACCGCAUGGUUUUGAUUUGAAAGGCGCUUUCGGGUGUCGCUGAUGGAUGGACCCGCGGUGCAUUAGCUAGUUGGUGAGGUAACGGCUCACCAAGGCGACGAUGCAUAGCCGACCUGAGAGGGUGAUCGGCCACAUUGGGACUGAGACACGGCCCAAACUCCUACGGGAGGCAGCAGUAGGGAAUCUUCGGCAAUGGACGAAAGUCUGACCGAGCAACGCCGCGUGAGUGAAGAAGGUUUUCGGAUCGUAAAACUCUGUUGUUAGAGAAGAACAAGGAUGAGAGUAACUGUUCAUCCCUUGACGGUAUCUAACCAGAAAGCCACGGCUAACUACGUGCCAGCAGCCGCGGUAAUACGUAGGUGGCAAGCGUUGUCCGGAUUUAUUGGGCGUAAAGCGAGCGCAGGCGGUUUCUUAAGUCUGAUGUGAAAGCCCCCGGCUC